CCUCGCAGGUGCUUUUACCAAUAAAGUUUUUCCGUCCAUGCGUCUAACAUACAUGACUAAUAAUGGAAUGCCGAAUCUGUUCUGCGACCUGCUUUUACUAACAAAGCAAAAAUAUUUCUCACUGUAAGUGAGAUAAGUCCUCGCAUAAUUGCCAUCAUUGCAAGAUCAACAGAGAAAGCAGCUGUUCCGGUGUACGUGGCCGAUCUACAGUUGUCGUGCGAAGAAAUCAUUGCAUUGCAAAUAAACUGUUACACGGAGUCUUAUUUAUUUGGAUGCUUAGAAAACAAGAACGCCUGAAAACCCCUUCAUCUGUUAAAAAUAUCACAGGACCGCUUCCAGCCAUAUCAUGGAAUGAAAGUGCGAACAAUACCAGCGCGACGAAAAAUAGAGAAACAUUGACUUGGUAGCCUGGCGCUGCCUUUUCAGCAGCCUACAGUCAUCUUGCGGUCAGACGAUAGAAACACCAUUAAAAUACAUCCUAAUAAUAGGACAACAAACUAGUAAGAAAAUACUCGCGCUUACGUUAUGAGAGCAUGCCGAAUUGGCGGGUUUAUUAAUUUUCAAUCUUGCUUAGUGCUAAUCUCUUUUACUAUUUUUCUGCAGCUGAGAGAGAAUCUUUCCGCAGCUGCCAGUCUAGUGGUUACGCUUGCGUUCCCUGGUAUCGCUGCCUCGCAGGGUAUUGGAUAUUUGCAAGAGGAUGCGGAAUCGGGUCCGUUUGCUGCAACCUCCGAGAAAUGAACACGUGCUACGCAGCUGGCGGAACUUGUAAACGGAAAUGCGAAACCUCUGUCAGCGCAAGGGGCCAAUGCUUCUUUGGCCUGAAGUGCUGCACCCAAGUGCUCUUCUAGCGAGUUUCCACCCGAAAUGCCCAUCAUGAAUUUUUACAGAUGACUUUCGUCCUGAAGACAAAUUGUAUUUCCUCCCUUCUUCUAUUACCACAUAGCAGAAAUAAAACUACGUCGCACACGCUGCAGA